GAGACACCCUUCUGGGGCAAGACUUGGUUCAGUGGGGCUUUGGUGCUCACUGAGUCUGCCCCCUGAGUGUGUCCCU
rfam:Myotis lucifugus cont2.24039, whole genome shotgun sequence.